CCUACGGGUGGCUGCAGUGGGGAAUAUUGGACAAUGGGCGAAAGCCUGAUCCAGCCAUGCCGCGUGUGUGAAGAAGGCCUUCGGGUUGUAAAGCACUUUCAGUGGAGAAGAAAGCCUUGGGGCUAAUACCCUCGAGGAAGGACAUCACCCACAGAAGAAGCACCGGCUAACUCCGUGCCAGCAGCCGCGGUAAUACGGAGGGUGCGAGCGUUAAUCGGAAUUACUGGGCGUAAAGCGCGCGUAGGCGGUCUGAUAAGCCGGUUGUGAAAGCCCCGGGCUCAACCUGGGAACGGCAUCCGGAACGGUCAGGCUAGAGUGCAGGAGAGGAGGGUAGAAUUCCCGGGGUAGCGGUGAAAUGCGUAGAGAUCGGGAGGAAUACCAGUGGCGAAGGCGGCCUUCUGGACUGACACUGACGCUGAGGUGCGAAAGCGUGGGUAGCAAACAGGAUUAGAUACCCCGGUAGUC
rnacentral:rRNA from 1 species